rnacentral:lncRNA from 1 species
GGUCUACAACUGUUUGUUCCUGUGUGAUGACUAGGAUGUCAAGCAUAUAGUGAAAGGAUAUCUGCCUUAUAAUGUCCUAUGGGCAUCCAUCAACAACUCCCUGAUGCUCCUGAUGAAGUCCAUAUAUCAUCUCAAAUAGCAAUGUUAAUUUAUCAAUUGGAGGAGAGCACUUUUUUUGCUUCUUCAAAACUCGAGAGCUCCUCU